UACAGAGGGUGCGAGCGUUGUUCGGAAUUAUUGGGCGUAAAGCGCGUGUAGGCGGUGAUGCAUGUCGGGUGUGAAAGCCCUCGGCUUAACCGAGGAAGUGCGCCCGAAACUGCAUCGCUCGAGUGCCGGAGAGGGUGGCGGAAUUCCGGGUGUAGAGGUGAAAUUCGUAGAUAUCCGGAGGAACACCAGUGGCGAAGGCGGCCACCUGGACGGACACUGACGCUGAGACGCGAAAGCGUGGGGAUCAAACAGG
rnacentral:rRNA from 1 species